AAUAGAUACCCAGGUAGUCCACGCCGUAAACGAUGGAUACUAGCUGUUCGUCCGCCUCGGCGGAUGAGUGGCUAAGCGAAAGUGAUAAGUAUCCCACCUGGGGAGUACGAACGCAAGUUUGAAACUCAAAGGAAUUGACGGGGGCCCGCACAAGCGGUGGAGCAUGUGGUUUAAUUCGAUGAUACGCGAGGAACCUUACCAAGGCUUAAAUGUAGAUUGACAGGACAGGAAACAGUUUUUUCUUCGGACAAUUUACAAGGUGCUGCAUGGUUGUCGUCAGCUCGUGCCGUGAGGUGUCAGGUUAAGUCCUAUAACGAGCGCAACCCCUGUUGUUAGUUGCCAGCGAGUCAAGUCGGGAACUCUAACAAGACUGCCAGUGUAAACUGUGAGGAAGGUGGGGAUGACGUCAAAUCAUCACGGCCCUUACGCCUUGGGCUACACACGUGCUACAAUGGCCGGUACAGAGAGCAGCCACUGCGCGAGCAGGAGCGAAUCUAUAAAACCGGUCACAGUUCGGAUCGGAGUCUGCAACUCG
rnacentral:rRNA from 1 species